UUUUAUUCUUGUGUUGCAUGUUAAUUAUCCAUCAGUAUGUUGAAACAAUUUAGGAAAAGAAUGUUUUGGAAACAUGCCUUCUGGAAAAUUAUUACAAAACAAGUCACAUGGAUUAUAUUCCCACAAAGCUAGGGGCUACAGAUUUCAUACUUCUGAUAUAUCCAAUUUUAUGCUUCCUAAAAUUGGCCUCACUUAAAGGCUUUGUAUUUCGCAAAUUGAGCUGACUGGUAUUUCAUCACUUCCAACCAUGCGCAAUGCAUUUAGUCUGGUAAUUAGUAGGUGCAUAUGCUGUUGUAGCUGAUGUCAUUUAGCCCUCUCCUUUUUUCUUGCAAUAGAACAUAUUGAAAUUGCAUUGGCCUCAGA
rnacentral:misc_RNA from 1 species